CUAGCGACUUCAGAGUUUGAUCCUGGCUCAGGACGAACGCUGGCGGCGCGCCUAACACAUGCAAGUCGAACGGAGCAUUUGAGCUUGCUUAAAUGCUUAGUGGCGAACGGGUGAGUAACACGUGAGCAAUCUGCCUUCGAGUGGGGGACAACAGUUGGAAACGACUGCUAAUACCGCAUAAGACCACAGCUCCGCAUGGAGCAGGGGUCAAAGGAUUUAUUCGCUUGAAGAUGAGCUCGCGUCCGAUUAGAUAGUUGGUGAGGUAACGGCCCACCAAGUCGACGAUCGGUAGCCGGACUGAGAGGUUGAACGGCCACAUUGGGACUGAGACACGGCCCAG
rnacentral:rRNA from 1 species